GACGGAAGGUGCAAGCGUUGCUCGGAAUCACUGGGCGUAAAGGGUGCGUAGGCGGCUUGGUAAGUCGGGUGUGAAAGCCCCGGGCUCAGCCUGGGAAGGGCACUCGAAACUGCCGAGCUGGAGUGCCGGAGGGGAGAGUGGAAUUCCUGGUGUAGCGGUGGAAUGCGCAGAUAUCAGGAGGAACACCAAUAGCGAAGGCAGCUCGCUGGGACGUUACUGACACUAAGGCGCGAAAGCGUGGGGAGCGAACAGG
rnacentral:rRNA from 1 species